GGUGCGGAUGGCGAACUCGGCGGCGGGUGGCGCGGCGCUCGCGUCGCUGAGCGGCAGCUGGAGGUUGCGCGCCCGGAUCGCCGCCGAGCUGCUCACC
rnacentral:tRNA from 1 species